rnacentral:lncRNA from 10 species
ACUACGGAACGCGCACGCGGGGCGCCACAGCUGGGGAACCCAUGCCCGGUCCGCGCGCCGACGUCCACUGCGCGCUCGUGCGCGUCCUGGGGCCUCCGCGGAGGGAGUGCGCGGUCCAGGAGAGGGCGGGGCGCUGCGAGCGGGCGGUGUUGUGGGAAGGAGGAAGGAGAGGAAGAGAGAGAGGGGGAGAGAAAGGAAAGGCUUGGGGCGGGGAGAGGCCACAGGGCCGUGUCUGGAUCCCCGGGAGGACCCCACCCCGACCUGGCCGGCCCCCGUGACCGCCCUCCCUGCCGAGGGGGCACCUGUCCGGGUGGUCCGCAGCCUGCACACGCAGGUUCCAAGUUCUUGUCCCAUGUCCAGGAAGAAUGAGGUUUGGCAGACAUCUGGAGGGUGAGCAAGGCAGAGAACAGCUGACCAAAUAGCUCUCAGUGGAGAGGAGACUCGAAGUGGGUAGCUCCUAUCCACAGGCACGUAUGGGCUCAGAAUGGAGGAAGUACAUGUUGAUUGGUCCAUAGACAGGAGGAAGUGUGUGCUGAUUGGCCCAUGGGCAGGCCUGGAAAAAGCACUACUUGAUUGGCUGAAAGGCAUCAAGUAAGUUCUCUUUCUGGAUCUCGGACUUCACCAGGAACUGGCAUCCUGGCCCAGGAACUUCAGGCUGUCCCUGGCUUGAAAGUGGGGUUUCACCAGGGACCUGCCCCUUCCCACCCAGGAACCUGUCUGCCUCCCGCUGCCAUCACCGUUCACUGGGAAUGUGACCUUCCCCGCAAAUAGAUGACACUCCUCCAGAACUCAGCUCAAGCUUUACCUUCUAUAGGGGUUUAUUUCCUGAACCCCAUAACCCUCACUGUAAUGCAAUCUCUUAGCCCCCUACCACAGGCCUCAUCAUCUCCUCCAUGUCAAGCACUGUGUCAUCCUUAGUCCUAUAUCCGUGGCGUAAGGCCUGGCACAUUUUAGAUGCUUGAAGAAAAUAUUUUCUGAAUAAAUGAAUGAAUGAGGCAUGAGAUCAUCUGUGUUCUUAAAAUCUUACAAUGUGGUAAAUUAGAAAA